UAAGGAAUAUUGGACAAUGGGCGAAAGCCUGAUCCAGCCAUGCCGCGUGAGUGAAGAAGGCCUUCGGGUUGUAAAGCUCUUUUAGUCGGAAAGAAAGAGUUGCAAUGAAUAAUUGUGAUUUAUGACGGUACCGACAGAAUAAGCACCGGCUAACUACGUGCCAGCAGCCGCGGUAAUACGUAGGGUGCGAGCGUUAAUCGGAAUUACUGGGCGUAAAGGGUGCGCAGGCGGUCUUGCAAGUCAGAUGUGAAAGCCCCGGGCUUAACCUGGGAAUUGCGUUUGAAACUACAAGACUAGAGUGCAGCAGAGGGGAGUGGAAUUCCAUGUGUAGCAGUGAAAUGCGUAGAGAUGUGGAAGAACACCGAUGGCGAAGGCAGCUCCCUGGGUUGACACUGACGCUCAUGCACGAAAGCGUGGGGAGCAAACA
rnacentral:rRNA from 1 species